GAAAUCUCACACUCUCCUCACCGCUUACAGGAUGAAGAAUUAAGUAGCUGUAAUUUGUGAACUCGAAGCCUACAAAACGCAAAGCAACCCUAGUUCAGUGAUUAUUCCAGCCAAAAAAAAAGAGUGAUCUGGGGAAGAGUGGAAAAACAAUGACAAUAUAUCUUUCUUGCGUAAGACAAAGGUUUUGCCUAUAAUAAAUUCACUGAGCAAGAAAUACAGACUCCUGUCCAAUGCUAUGAAAAUUAACCAAGGCACAUUAACUUCAGGAAAUCUUCAAAGGUACGAAAAUAAAAUGCUUACUCAGUAAUUAUUUAAACCAAACAAGCCAUCAGUAUGUGCGACACCCUAAGUAUUAUGUCAGGUCAAUAAUUAAGCUGUAGUAAAUCUUCUGGAGAUUCUCUUCUGCCAAACUGCAAAGACUCAAGGCUAACCCAAGGACCCUUAACAUUUCGUGAGGAAGCAAAUGAUUGUACAGAUAGCUUCUCAAUCCAAAGUUUGCUGUUAUUAACUUUCAGUUUGUAAGACAUCCAGAAAUUGUAUGUUUUAAGUUUGUUGAAUAAUACCCUGUGAACAAAAUAUGUGGCUUUCUUGAGCUUACUGAAAGGAAUAUUUUAUAGGCUUGAGUUCUGUCAAGAUAAAAACACUCCUUUUUUCUGUAGGGAAACAUACACAUUAAGCAGAAAGUGACAUCUUGGAAUUUUUCCUUGUUUAUGUAAACCUGAUGAUUAUGAAAA
ensembl:lncRNA